AGAAGAAAAUUUUUUUAUAUGUUUCUAUCUGGGACAACACUUGCUCUGCUUCAGAUACAGAAACCUCAGAAAUCUGCUUUGAAACUGAGGGAGUCAUUGAAUCCCUGUGCUGGUAAUGGCAUCUCAACAGGUGACCAGAGGGUGUUUGAACAGCUGCUGGCAGUUCCACAGCCUGGACAGAGAGGCUGACUGAGCCUCAUCCUUCAGUGGAACUGCAUCAGUAAUCUUUAACAAGAAUUUGGAGAUGUGAAAGUGUUCACAGCACAGUAUAUGCAUACACAUGUACACGUUUAUCUGAGGAGAAUUUCCCGCAGCGUUGGCCUUGUCCUGUUCUACACCACCAGCUCUUUCUCCCCUGAUGAAGUGGCAGGGUGAGAGGUCUUCCUGUGGCUGCUGCCUGCUUAGAGGGUAAGAUGAAGGUUUUGGAACCCCUCAGCAUGAUGGAUCGUGCAGACAUCAGUUGCGUGGCAGACUCAGCAGAGGGAGCCCGGCGUUCAGUCCUGGAGCUGAGGAGGGAGCAGACCUGAUGCAUCUCGGAAAGGAAGAUCGCCUUCCUUUCCCUCGCUCUCCAGCAAGCCGGAGCUCGCUGCCUGAGUGGGAAUGCCUCGGCAGGACCGCACGUUUCCCUGUGUGAGUGUUUUGUGCUGCCCGUGCAGUUUUUUUAAGCACUCAGAGCCUGCCCCUGUGAUGCUGUGCUCCCAAACUCAGCUCUCCCACAACAUCCUGGCGGCAGCUGUCAUUCUGCUGGAAAAAUCGAUGCAGGAGGAGGAGAACUCUAUAUAGAGUUGGUCUGCAUUGUCCAAACUUGUUUGCUAUCCAGUGGACUUUUAUUACUCUGAAACUCCCCAAACAUUCUGCUGCCUGGCACUGGCCCUGCCACCAAAGGACUGGUGUGUUCAGGCUGGGGAGGGAGGUGUUUCUCUUCUGUGGCAGCUCUUCAACACCCUCCCUGUGUUAAAUAUUAACCUAUUGCUGCUGAUCUUCCAGGCCAUUUUACUCUACCUCCAAUUGUCUUGACACAAAAGGAGAAUAUUUGGAGUGUAAUUUGAUUUUUCUAUGCCUGUCUGCUUCACUGUUAAUUUUUUGAUUGAAAAAUCAAGCUCUCAGCUAAAGUAAUAUUUUUUAGAAAACAUCAUACUAGAAUAUUUUUGGUCAAAACCUAACAUGUUUUAACUUUCAUCUGCAAGUCUUUCAUAUUUGUGACAUUCAUUGUGUGAAAAAGUUUGCUUCUCAUGUUAAUAGAUAUUUUCCCCCCAGCAACAAUUAGGACUUAAUUUUUGAAACUUCCUGUUUUCCAAAGAGUUUUUUGUUUGAGCAGCUGGUGUGCCCAGCCCUGGUUCAACAAAAGCUGUUCAUAUUCCAGGCCAAGAGGCAGAGAUGAUGGGCAGCAGUGUUGUUUUUGUGGCUGUGCAUUGUUCAGGACAGCAAUAGUUAAGAAAAGAUGAUUCUAAAUUAAAACAAGCAAAGAACCAACCUCGGUGACAUAUGUAAUGAAAAACAUUUCCGGCUUCUUUAUCCCAGAACUUCAAGAUUUCAGACAUUUUCAGGUGUAUCUGUUUUGUUUGUUUACACAUCCAUGACUUACCUGAGCUGAAGGAUUUGCUGUGUCACUGGCAGGCAGGAGUGAAGGAGAAGCCUGUCCUCUAUGGGGUCCCAAAUUAAGUUUUGGCACAAUCACCCUGCAAUUUGAGCUAAAACUGGUUUGCCUGUUCCAAUAGGUGAAGAGCACAGCACUGCUGGAAACCUCCGAGGUGAAGGAGACCAAACUACUCUCUGGGUCCUGGAAAACGUGAAGAUGUGACCAACAAUUUCAGGAGGAAAAUGGGAACAUUUCAAGGUGUUCCUGGACAUCCUGCAAAACCACAGGGAAAAUAUCUGCAUGCCACUCAAAUGAAGCAACUCAAAACCAAACUCUGUGAAGAUAAUCCCAUCUUUUGAUUUUAUUUGGUAGAAAUGAAUGGGGAAAAAAAAGAAAAAAGCUUCAACUCUGGAUUUUCAUGAUGAUAGAGUGGGAACUUUCACCACCGUCCCAGUUUUGGACUGCAUUUGAUGCAGGCUCAUGGAGACAGGGGACUGUUAUUAGAGCUGUGUGAAUAAUCUACAGCAAGUAACUGAAUGGAAGUGUUUGGCCUUUUAUCUGUUUGCAAACUAUCUGUGAGCUUUCCUGGAUGUUCUUGAAUGUGUUUGUUAUUUGAGAUAAUACUGCCCAUAAUUUCUGUGAAUAAUCAUUUAUUUGUGGACUGCCUACAAGUAUUUAGAUAGUCAAAAUGUCAUUUUUGUUCCAUGGUUACAUGAGUGCAACCCUGAGACUUCCACCAAGAGUACUCACAGUCAGGAGUGGUAAAUUCACUUUCUGUAAAACCUUGUUGAAAUCUUC